rnacentral:rRNA from 1 species
GAUGAACGCUGGCGGCGUGCCUAAUACAUGCAAGUCGAGCGAACGGACGAGAAGCUUGCUUCUCUGAUGUUAGCGGCGGACGGGUGAGUAACACGUGGAUAACCUACCUAUAAGACUGGGAUAACUUCGGGAAACCGGAGCUAAUACCGGAUAAUAUGUUGAACCGCAUGGUUCAAAAGUGAAAGACGGUCUUGCUGUCACUUAUAGAUGGAUCCGCGCUGCAUUAGCUAGUUGGUAAGGUAACGGCUUACCAAGGCAACGAUGCAUAGCCGACCUGAGAGGGUGAUCGGCCACACUGGAACUGAGACACGGUCCAGACUCCUACGGGAGGCAGCAGUAGGGAAUCUUCCGCAAUGGGCGAAAGCCUGACGGAUCAACGCCGCGUGAGUGAUGAAGGUCUUCGGAUCGUAAAACUCUGUUAUUAGGGAAGAACAUAUGUGUAAGUAACUGUGCACAUCUUGACGAUACCUAAUCAGAAAGCCACGGCUAACUACGUG